GUCCGUCCACCUGCAAAGGUGGGGGGGGCGUGCUGGCGUCGGCGCACUGGCUGCCGUGCGCGUGUACAUGCCAGAGCACUACCGGGCGUCCGUGAUGGCGAGCGGGCGUGCGUGCUUUUAACGAGUGCGUGCGUGCGCUUGCUCCCGUCGGGUGCGUGUGCUUUGUGCACUGCGCCCGUUGGGCUUGUUACUUUGACGAAAUUAGAGUGCUCAAAGCAGACGCGCGUGCGUCUGAAUACAUUAGCAUGGAAUAACGAUACACGACAGCGAUUCAAUGAACAGUGGCGCUUCGUGCCGUUGGUAGUGCGUGGAUCGCCGUAAUGAUAAAUAGGGGCAGUUGGGGGUAUUAGUAUUUGAUAGUCAGAGGUGAAAUUCUUGGAUUUAUCAAAGACUGACUAGUGCGAAAGCAUUUACCAAGGAUGUUCCCGUUGAUCAAGAACGAAAGUUAGGGG
rnacentral:rRNA from 1 species